UGCCGUGUGGACGUGUUUUUUUCACAGUGUUUUGAGAAAAAAUUCAAUCCGCCAUAUUUGUAAUUUCUACAGGCCGAAAAACAGCCACGAGAUAAAAGUUUUACCAAAUUUGUGUUAAAUAAAAGCAUCAACAUUAAUAAUCGAAAGAUGAAUCACAACAACAAUAAUAAUAGCGGUCGUCCCCCGCCACGCAUUGAUGGAAUGAUAUCCCUUAAGGUGGAUAAUUUGACAUAUCGUACCACACCAGAAGAUUUACGUCGAGUUUUUGAGCGUUGUGGUGAUGUUGGUGACAUUUACAUCCCACGCGAUCGUUAUACCCGUGAAAGUCGUGGCUUCGCUUUUGUAAGAUUUUAUGACAAACGUGAUGCAGAAGAGGCCCUAGAGGCUAUGGAUGGACGUAAGUUAGACGGUAGGGAGUUGCGCGUACAAAUGGCACGUUAUGGUCGCCCCACUUCCCCAUCAAACAACAGACGUAACAACAAUCGCCGUGGUGGUGGUGGCCGUCGCCGCUCACGUUCUCCCAUGCGUCGUCGUUCUCGCAGUCCACGCCGUCGUUCAUACUCACGUUCACGUUCUCCACAAAGUCGUUCACCCGUCAGACGUACUAAAUUUUCACGCAGUCCCGUAAGACGUUCCCUUAGCCGCAGUGGUAGCCGAAAUGGUCUGGGCGCUAUUGGCAGUGGAGGCGGUACCGCCGACAGAGGACGCAGUGUAUCACGUAGCCGUAGUAGAUCUUAAACUAAAGGCUCUUAAUAAGAAAAUGUGCAAAAAAAGGUAAAUUAUUAGUUUUUGACUCAAAAUUUCUAAGGCCCGUUUGUUAAGUUGCGUUUUCUUAACAUUUUCUUUAGGUCUCUAUCAAACCGUUAUGGAAAAUGGCUUCUGGGGACAUGUAUUUUACACUUAUUUUUAACAAUACGUUGCUGUCUUAUCAGCAGGCAUUAAAGCGGUUUGUUGGCUGGUUAUUUUAAGCAGAAGGCAGGCAGGCUGAAAAAUGUAUAAACAAAAAAAUUUAACCAGUUUAACCCAGUAGAGAAAAUUAAAUGUAAUUGAUGAAGUGCAGAGAGAGGGAGUAAGCUGUGUAUGAGCGUGCUGCUUAGACCUGUUUAUAAGAAAAUAAAAACACGAAAACACCAUUGAUUAAUGCUGCGUAAUCGGGUUUAAUGUUGAUGCUGCUGCUGCGACUGCUGUUGUUGCUACUUUUGCAUGAUAAUACAAUAGCUGUUAGAUCUUCUGAAGCGGUUGCUGAUUAUGUUGUCUGCUGCAACUUGUUUAUAUGUAUGUUAUCUACCUCUACCUACUCUACUACCCACCCCUUCAGCUUUUUUUGGUUAAAAAAUCUAUCAAUAAGCUGAUUUUUAACAUUCUUACAGUCUAACGAAACAAAAUUUGUAGAAAUGGCCCAACCAACAAAGCAAGAAGCAGCAUACGGCGCAGAAGUAGUCAGCAGUUGGGUGUAUUAUUAUUGUAGUUUAAUCAAAAGCAGCACUCAUUUUUCAACUUGUUCUGUAACAAAACAAAAACAAACAACACAUGCCGCCCAAGUUAUUUUUCUCUCUCGUACAUGCAGUUGCGUGGUAGCUGUGCUGUGUAACAUUAAUAAUGAUAACAUUUUGUGCGUUUCAUCGUACUCUCAAAAUGCACAACAGGUCUAGUGGUGUGGUGUUGGUGAUGAUGAGAUAUAUAAGUGGUCGUGGUGUUUGGGAGUUGUGAUCUGUGUUUAAUCUUAGCUAGAGUUUGCUGUGUGAUCUCAUCAUUCACUAUAACAAAAAGCAGGUUUCCAGUUUUCUAAAAGUAUUUUGUUCCUCCUCUUCAACGAGACCUUAGAAAAUUAUGUAUCAGCUCCUCCUUGUCUGCAGUAUGGUUGGUUGGUGUUUAGUAGCAGUUCGUUUUCGAUCGUUUUAUUUUUUAUCACAAAAAAAAUUAAUAUAGCACAGGUUUAUAUGGAAUUUGUCAGGCUUACAAAACAUCAGGACCUACUACGUUAAUGCUGGACUUUUAUUGUGCAACAUUUGAGAUUGCUUUUUAUACGCUAGUUUAUGGAAAACAUGUAAGUAAACGAUGGAAUUUUAAUGAAUUAAUCACUACUUUUCAGGUUAACACAAUCUAUAUUGGCAAUUUGAAUUUAUGCUUUGUAUAAAAGAAAAAUAAAAUAAAAAUUCUUGAAUUAUAAAAUAUAUAA